UACGGGGGGGGCAAGCGUUGUUCGGAAUUACUGGGCGUAAAGGGCUCGUAGGCGGCCAACUAAGUCAGACGUGAAAUCCCUCAGCUUAACUGGGGAACUGCGUCUGAUACUGGAUGGCUGGAGUUCGGGAGAGGAUGCGGAAUUCCAGGUGUAGCGGUGAAAGUGCGUAGAUAUCUGGAGGAACACCGGUGGCGAAGGCGGCGACUCGU
rnacentral:rRNA from 1 species